CAGUCACCUUCUGGUGCAUGUCCAGCCUCAAGAGUGGGAAAGUAUGCGCGACUGGAGGAGGUACUGUGGAGGUGGUUGCGCAAGAACGUCUGUAAAUGAGAGCAUUUGCGGAGCAAACAUCAAUGUGCCUAACACGAUGCUGUGCGUGCAAACCAAUUCACAUUCUCAUUGCCUCUAUCCCCCUCAGUGUAUCCAUAUAUAUGCCUAGAACGAGAAAGCAGGACCAAAGAGACAGUCCAAAGAAACACUAAUUUGCACUUGACCCAUCUGAUGGCAGGUGGGCCGCCUGCAACGCAUUCUGAUGCAUGUCAAUCUGGAUACCUCGUGCAUUAUGUACUGCACUGUAUCUGUUUAUCACAUAGAAUGUGACGCCUUCGGUGAAGGAGUAAUGAACUCUGCAGAGAGGUCGAGAACUGGGUGAAGUUUUGGGGUGUCGCUUCGGUGGAGGCAAAGCAAGGACUGACCUUGAAAGUAGUGGGUUCGGCGAUUUUAAUGUACGCAGAGCCAAGGGGCUUGGAACCGAGACCGAACCGCUGUUGAAGGCCAUUGCUAUCUGUGCCUUGGAUUUUACAGUCCUGGCCGUAACACGACAUGCAACGAAUGACAUUGAGGACACGACGCAAGUCUUCUUUCUUCCUGUGGCCGCCUAAAAGCUCCUGCGGAAAUGAGUCAGCUUCCAAAACCUUGUCGUACGAAAUUGUGAUUGGAACAAAAGUGACGUUCGGCUGUUCGAAGUCGAAGUACAGGUCCAGCACUGACCGGAGAAUACCAUUUUGUGGGCGAGAGAGCAAGCCUGUACAAAAGGAGAGGAAUAGAGCCUACCGGAAAAGAGAUGUCUUUCGGAUUCCUCACCGCCGGGAGCCGGGAGUGUGAUUUACAUCUAUGGAAAAGCCUAAAUGAACGGUGUCUGUCACCUAAAAACUGCAUACCGCGUUUGCCGAAAGCCGU
rnacentral:lncRNA from 1 species